CUUCCAGUAGCACCUUAGAGACCAACUGAGUUUGUUAUUGGUAUGUGCUUUCGUGUGCAUGCACACUUCUUAGUUGGUCUCUAAGGUGCUACUGGAAG